AUGACGCUCAGGUCUCCGGCCUCACCGCUCUCAAUCAUCUUCUCCUUCUUCCAGUUUCGACAAAAUCAACAGUGUUUCUGCUUCGACUCUCUCUUCUACUUCUGUGAUAACCAUUCUUUAUCUCCCCCGAUCGGAGAAAACGAACAAAGAUGCAUACAAUAUCUUCAGUUUUUGAGGUGA